UACGGAGGAUCCAAGCGUUAUCCGGAAUCAUUGGGUUUAAAGGGUCCGUAGGCGGUUUUGUAAGUCAGUGGUGAAAGCCCAUCGCUCAACGGUGGAACGGCCAUUGAUACUGCAAGACUUGAAUUAUUAGGAAGUAACUAGAAUAUGUAGUGUAGCGGUGAAAUGCUUAGAGAUUACAUGGAAUACCAAUUGCGAAGGCAGCUCACCAAGUCAUAACUGACGCUGAUGCACGAAAGCGUGGGGAGCAAACAGG
rnacentral:rRNA from 1 species